GGGGAGCAUCCAUAUGCCGAGAUGUUGCCUGAUACAGUCUUCCUAAAGAAAAAUACUGCUGUUUCCUACUUGUAGUGCUUGAGCAAGCCUGCAAGUCUCAAAUAAACAGUGACAAAU
rfam:Medicago truncatula strain A17 chromosome 4, whole genome shotgun sequence.